UACGUAGGGGGCGAGCGUUGUCCGGAGUUACUGGGCGUAAAGCGCACGCAGGCGGUCUGUUAAGUUUGGAGUGACAGUUGGUGGCUUAACUGCCAAAGUGCUUCGAAAACUGACAGACUUGAGGGCUUCAGAGGGACACGGAAUUCCGGGUGUAGCGGUGGAAUGCGUAGAGAUCCGGAAGAACACCAGUGGCGAAGGCGGCCCGCUGGGCAGUGGCUGACGCUGAGGCGCGACAGCGUGGGGAGCAAACAGG
rnacentral:rRNA from 1 species